CAGGACAAAUGCAGACAGGUCAGGUCAGGUCAGGUCAGGUCAGUGUGUUUAAUAUGCACAUUCAGAGCAAGCUGUUGUAGCAUAUGCCUGUCAUGGGCACAGGUGUCGACUUACACUGGCUGCUCCGUCCAGGGCAGGACAAAUGCAGACAGGUCAGGUCAGGUCAGGUCAGGUCAGUGUGUUUAAUAUGCACAUUCAGAGCAAACUGUUGUAGCAUAUGCCUGUCAUGGACACAGGUGUCCACUUACACUGGCUCCUCCGUCCAGGGCAGGACAAAUGCAGACAGGUCAGGUCAGGUCAGGUCAGGUCAGUGUGUUUAAUAUGCACAUUCAGAGCAAGCUGUUGUAGCAUAUGCCUGUCAUGGGCACAGGUGUCGACUUACACUGGCUCCUCCGUCCAGGGCAGGACAAAUGCAGACAGGUCAGGUCAGGUCAGGUCAGGUCAGUGUGUUUAAUAUGCACAUUCAGAGCAAGCUGUUGUAGCAUAUGCCUGUCAUGGACACAGGUGUCCACCUACACUGGCUCCUCCGUCCAGGGCAGGACAAAUGCAGACAGGUCAGUGUGUUUAAUAUGCACAUUCAGAGCAAGCUGUUGUAGCAUAUGCCUGUCAUGGACACAGGUGUCGACCUACACUGGCUCCUCCGUCCAGGGCAGGACAAAUGCAGACAGGUCAGGUCAGGUCAGGUCAGGUCAGUGUGUUUAAUAUGCACAUUCAGAGCAAGCUGUUGUAGCAUAUGCCUGUCAUGGGCACAGGUGUCGACUUACACUGGCUCCUCCGUCCAGGGCAGGACAAAUGCAGACAGGUCAGGUCAGGUCAG